rnacentral:rRNA from 1 species
CGUGCCAGCAGCCGCGGUAAUACGUAGGUGGCAAGCGUUGUCCGGAAUUACUGGGUGUAAAGGGCGUGUAGGCGGGGAUGCAAGUCAGGUGUGAAAGCCCAUGGCUCAACUGUGGGACUGCAUCUGAAACUGAAUCUCUUGAGUACUGGAGAGGGAAGUGGAAUUCCUAGUGUAGCGGUGAAAUGCGUAGAGAUUAGGAGGAACACCAGUGGCGAAGGCGGCUUCCUGGACAGUAACUGACGCUGAGGCGCGAAAGCGUGGGGAGCGAACAGGAUUAGAUACCCUGGUAGUCCACGCCGUAAACGAUGGAUACUAGGUGUAGGAGGUAUCGACCCCUUCUGUGCCGGAGUUAACACAUUAAGUAUCCCACCUGGGGAAUACGACCGCAAGGUUGAAACUCAAAGGAAUUGACGGGGGCCCGCACAAGCAGUGGAGUAUGUGGUCUAAUUCGAAGCAACGCGAAGAACCUUACCAGGGCUUGACAUCCCUUGACAGCUCUAGAGAUAGAGUUUCCCUUCGGGGCAAGGAGACAGGUGGUGCAUGGUUGUCGUCAGCUCGUGUCGUGAGAUGUUGGGUUAAGUCCCGUAACGAGCGCAACCCUUAUUGUUAGUUGCCAGCAAGUAAAGUUGGGCACUCUAACGAGACUGCCGGUGAUAAAUCGGAGGAAGGUGGGGAUGACGUCAAAUCAUCAUGCCCCUUAUGUCCUGGGCUACACACGUACUACAAUGGCUGGUACGGAGGGGAGCUAAGCCGCGAGGUGGAGUCAAUCCCCAAAACCAGUCCCAGUUCGGAUUGCAGGCUGCAAUUCGCCUGCAUGAAGUGGGAA